GAUGAACGCUGGCGGCGUGCCUAAUACAUGCAAGUCGAGCGAACAGACGAGAAGCUUGCUUCUCUGAUGUUAGCGGCGGACGGGUGAGUAACACGUGGAUAACCUACCUAUAAGACUGGGAUAACUUCGGGAAACCGGAGCUAAUACCGGAUAAUAUUUUGAACCGCAUGGUUCAAAAGUGAAAGACGGUCUUGCUGUCACUUAUAGAUGGAUCCGCGCUGCAUUAGCUAGUUGGUAAGGUAACGGCUUACCAAGGCAACGAUGCAUAGCCGACCUGAGAGGGUGAUCGGCCACACUGGAACUGAGACACGGUCCAGACUCCUACGGGAGGCAGCAGUAGGGAAUCUUCCGCAAUGGGCGAAAGCCUGACGGAGCAACGCCGCGUGAGUGAUGAAGGUCUUCGGAUCGUAAAACUCUGUUAUUAGGGAAGAACAAAUGUGUAAGUAACUGUGCACAUCUUGACGGUACCUAACCAGAAAGCCACGGCUAACUACGUG
rnacentral:rRNA from 1 species